rnacentral:tRNA from 1 species
GUCAGGAUGGCCGAGCGGUCCAAGGCACUGCGUUCAGGUCGCACUCCAGUCUUCUGGACGAGGAAUCGAAUUCCUCUUCUGACA